rnacentral:rRNA from 1 species
UACGUAGGUGGCGAGCGUUGUCCGGAAUUACUGGGCGUAAAGGAUGCGUAGGCGGAUAUCUAAGUCAGAUGUGAAAUACCCGGGCUUAACUUGGGUGCUGCAUUUGAAACUGGAUGUCUAGAGUGCGGGAGAGGAAAGUGGAAUUCCUAGUGUAGCGGUGAAGUGCGUAGAGAUUAGGAAGAACACCAGUGGCGAAGGCGACUUUCUGGACCGUAACUGACGCUGAGGCUCGAAAGCGUGGGGAGCAAAC